rnacentral:lncRNA from 1 species
GUUACAAAGCUAGCCGUCCUAGAUGUCCAGCGCGAAGCCUAGUAAGCCAACCGGAAGUUGGCGUACCCGGGGGAGUGUUGCCGGCGCGCAUCCCACUGUACUGGCAACGCUUUUGGAUGCACUACCACAAGAAGACAUAGUUGUACCUAAAUGGAAUCUACUGAUAGGGAAGCUGUCAGAUAUGAUGAUAAGCGAGAUGGAAAGGAGUAAAAGGAUGAGGAGUUGAAUGAAAAGAAAACCUAAAAACUAGAUAUACAAUGAAUUGUGAGCUUAUUGAAUUCGCUAUUAUUGAAGUUAAAGCUAAAGUUAGUUGCUGAUAAAUCUUAAAUCUAAUGUUAGUCGUUGUUAAAACUUAAAUCUACUUGAGAGUACGGUAAGAAGUGAAGUUAUUAAUAACAUACAGUAUAAUAUAAGCUAAAACAGUUUUCCCGAUAGUGUGCCCCACCCGAACGAACAGUAUCUCGAAGUUGGCGUCUUGAUUAGUCGAAUACAUUGAACAUAAAAUUAAAUAAAACGUUGGUACCGUCACGCAACAAUUACCGGCAGCAAUAUUAUGACUGCCAUGCUAGGAGCGCAGUAAAUGUGAGUAGCAAUUAAAGUAAGAUAUUUUAAGGCAAAUCAAUAUCUCUAACCAUUCUAACAGGAAUUUUGUAAUCCCCCGGCUUAAA